GACGAACGCUGGCGGCGUGCCUAAUACAUGCAAGUAGAACGCUGAAGAGAGGAGCUUGCUCUUCUUGGAUGAGUUGCGAACGGGUGAGUAACGCGUAGGUAACCUGCCUUGUAGCGGGGGAUAACUAUUGGAAACGAUAGCUAAUACCGCAUAACAAUAGGUGACACAUGUCAUUUAUUUGAAAGGGGCAAUUGCUCCACUACAAGAUGGACCUGCGUUGUAUUAGCUAGUAGGUGAGGUAACGGCUCACCUAGGCGACGAUACAUAGCCGACCUGAGAGGGUGAUCGGCCACACUGGGACUGUGACACGGCCCAGACGCCUACGGGAGGCAGCAGUAGGGAAUCUUCGGCAAUGGGGGCAACCCUGACCGAGCAACGCCGCGUGAGUGAAGAAGGUUUUCGGAUCGUAAAGCUCUGUUGUAAGUCAAGAACGAGUGUGAGAGUGGAAAGUUCACACUGUGACGGUAGCUUACCAGAAAGAGACGGCUAACUACGUG
rnacentral:rRNA from 1 species